UUUAAGCGUAUUAUGGGGGCAUUUUUUAUCUUUUAUGCUGUAUUUUACUGUACCUUUUCUAUGUUUAGCUAUAUAAAUACUUAGCCCUGUGUUAUAACUGCCUACAGUAUUCAGUACAGUAACAUGCUGUUCAGGUUUGUAGCCCAGGAGCAAUAGACCUAGGUGUGUAGUAGGCUAUACCAUCUAGGUUUGUGUAAGCACACUCUAUCCUGUUUGCACAGCAACAAAAUAGCCUAAUGAUGCAUUUCUCAGAAUGUAUCCCCAUCAUUAAGCAACACAUGAGUGUAUUUAAUAAAUCUUAUUCUCAUUACUAGUGCAAAGGCAAAGUCAAAAGAUCACAAACUCCAAAUUAGUGGAUUCUGAACCUAAGGGCUGGAGACAUCCUUUGACUUGCCCAAGGCAUAGAUGAGGUGUGCAUUUUAGUUUUUUCAGGGAGCACCAAAGGCGUCCUCCACCUCCCACCCCUAAUGCAAACCUAAAGUAGUCCUUUACAUUUCACCACUCCUUUUUCUGGGCCUUGGAAUCUAGGGCAUUACUCAAUAUUUGCCCUUUUCUUCCCUGGAAAAUGCCUAAUGUUGAAUGCUACUUCACACCUAUAAUGUACUGGUUUCUCAAGUCAAUCUUGCUGAAGAAUUUCUCAACGUGAAAAUGGCACCAAGAAGUGUUCUUAAAUUGCCAGAUGAAACUGACCUGGGAAAAUUGCCAUUAGUUUCCUGAACCAGUUCUCCUAGUGACCAGACAUAAACCCUUUGUGGCUGAGAAAACAAGAAAAGAAACAAGAACAACAAUAUUUCAGAAGCUGGAUGGUGGCAAGCUGGAUGGUGGCAGUGAGGAAAGCAAAGAAACAUAUCAAUUUACAUUGCAGGAUUCUCAAACAUUCCUAGAAGAAAACUACUGGAGAAUGUGUUCCAUCACACGAAAGAAGUAAACCAAGAAGGAGAAAUAUAUGGGCCACAUGAAACAGGAGAUUUAACACAGAAGAGAGGCAAAGAGAAUCUGUCAUUAUGGAGACAGUGGCUCCCAAGAUGAUUGCUGUACACAAAGCAUAGGUUUUGGUAGAAAAUUUGAGGCCAAGGACCAUGGAGGGCCCAUAAUCAUAGCUGCCCUUGCCUCUAGAGUAACUCAUAGGCGUGGCAAAAGCCCAGGGGUGGACAAUAGAAAUGAAAUGAUGGGACAAUAAUAAAGGAUGUUUCUAACACAAAUGAUACAUUGAA